rnacentral:rRNA from 1 species
GAAAAAAAGGGGUUUACAAGGACACAAAAAACCGGGAGGCAGUAGUGGGGAAUAUUGGACAAUGGGGGCAACCCUGAUCCAGCCAUGCCGCGUGUGUGAAGAAGGCCCUCGGGUUGUAAAGCACUUUCAGCGAGGAAGAACGCCUGGUGGUUAAUACCCACCAGGAAAGACAUCACUCGCAGAAGAAGCACCGGCUAACUCCAUGCCAGCAGCCGCGGUAAUACGGAGGGUGCAAGCGUUAAUCGGAAUUACUGGGCGUAAAGCGCGCGUAGGUGGCUUGAUAAGCACGGUUGUGAAAGCCCCGGGCUCAACCUGGGAACGGCAUCCGGAACUGUCAGGCUAGAGUGCAGGAGAGGAAGGUAGAAUUCCCGGUGUAGCGGUGAA